rnacentral:lncRNA from 1 species
AACAAUAGCUCAAGAUGAGAAUUUGAAACAGGGGAAGGGAAAAAACUUACCAACGAGUACUACAUAUUAGUGAGUGAAGAGAGAUAUUCUAGUACUAACCAUGCGUAUUGCAGUUAAAAAAACAUGCGUAUUGCGAACAUACCUAGGGGAUUGAGAGGUGUUAGUAACAAAAGAAUAGCUGGCCUGGACUCUGGAUGACACAUUUUUUUCAUUACAGGAGGCCAGUAUGGUCCAUCGUGUUUAUCUCGAUAAUUUACUAGUUCUUAGACCUCUUUGUAACUAAGUUCACUCUUGUAAUCCAGCAAAGCGAAAAUGCUGCUCCUGUUUAGGGUGCUCUAACCACAGUAAGUUUGGAAGAUCGCAGUAGUCGAAUAUUUCAAGAAGGGGUUAGAGUGAAU